GACGAACGCUGGCGGCGUGCUUAACACAUGCAAGUCGAACGGAAAGGCCCUGCUUUUGUGGGGUGCUCGAGUGGCGAACGGGUGAGUAACACGUGAGUAACCUGCCCUUGACUUUGGGAUAACUUCAGGAAACUGGGGCUAAUACCGGAUAGGAGCUCCUGCUGCAUGGUGGGGGUUGGAAAGUUUCGGCGGUUGGGGAUGGACUCGCGGCUUAUCAGCUUGUUGGUGGGGUAGUGGCUUACCAAGGCUUUGACGGGUAGCCGGCCUGAGAGGGUGACCGGCCACAUUGGGACUGAGAGACGGCCCAGACUCCUACGGGAGGCAGCAGGGGGGAAUAUUGCAAAAUGGGCGGAAGCCUGAUGCAGCAACGCCGCGUGCGGGAUGACGGCCUUCGGGUUGUAAACCGCUUUCGCCUGUGACGAAGCGUGAGUGACGGUAAUGGGUAAAGAAGCACCGGCUAACUACGUG
rnacentral:rRNA from 1 species